rnacentral:rRNA from 1 species
GGCUGCUAAUACCGCAUAAGCGCACAGUACCGCAUGGUACAGUGUGAAAAACUCCGGUGGUGUGAGAUGGACCCGCGUCUGAUUAGCUAGUUGGCAGGGUAACGGCCUACCAAGGCGACGAUCAGUAGCCGACCUGAGAGGGUGACCGGCCACAUUGGGACUGAGACACGGCCCAAACUCCUACGGGAGGCAGCAGUGGGGAAUAUUGGGCAAUGGGCGCAAGCCUGACCCAGCAACGCCGCGUGAGGGAAGAAGGUUUUCGGAUUGUAAACCUCUGUCGCAGAAGACGAAGGAAGUGACGGUAUUCUGUGAGGAAGCCCCGGCUAACUACGUGCCAGCAGCCGCGGUAAUACGCAGGGGGCAAGCGUUAUCCGGAUUUACUGGGUGUAAAGGGAGCGUAGACGGACUGGCAAGUCUGAUGUGAAAGGCGGGGGCUCAACCCCUGGACUGCAUUGGAAACUGUUAGUCUUGAGUGCCGGAGAGGUAAGCGGAAUUCCUAGUGUAGCGGUGAAAUGCGUAGAUAUUAGGAGGAACACCAGUGGCGAAGGCGGCUUGCUGGGCUCUAACUGACGCUGAGGCUCGAAAGUGUGGGGAGCAAACAGGAUUAGAUACCCUGGUAGUCCACACUGUAAACGAUGAUUGCUAGGUGUGGGGGGUCUGAGACCCCCUCCGUGCCGGAGUUAACGCAAUAAGCAAUCCACCUGGGGAGUACGGCCGCAAGGUUGAAACUCAAAGGAAUUGACG